UACGAAGGUGGCAAGCGUUACUCGGAAUUACUAGGCGUAAAGCGCAGGUAGGCGGUUCGGUAAGUCUUUUGUGAAAGCUCCCGGCUUAACUGGGAGAGGCCAAGGGAUACUGCCGGACUUGAGUGUGGUAGAGGAAACUGGAAUUCCCGGUGUAGCGGUGAAAUGCGUAGAUAUCGGGAGGAAUACCUAAGGCGAAAGCAGGUUUCUGGGCCAUCACUGACGCUGAGCUGCGAAAGCUAGGGGAGCAAACAGG
rnacentral:rRNA from 1 species